GAAGACACCACGUGUCAAGCUACCACCCCCAUCAGUAUCUAUAUCCCAUGACUGAGUCAAUACCUCCGAGACUGUGAGCCAAAAUGAAACUCUCCUCUUUUACCUCUGCCAUAACAAAAAGGGGAAAUGUGCCUCGUGUCUGGUUUUACCCAUCUACCGGAUAACCAGGCCUCUGGUAGUCCCUGAAAAAGAUUUCCGAGAAUGUACAACUGUAGCACCAGUGGGCAUAUGUGCCCAUUACAGCAGCUCGUAGGGCUUACAGCUGGAUGAAUGAAAUCCCAUUGUGAGGUGUACCACAUUUUCAUUAUCUCUUUGUCCAUGGAUGGACCUCUAGGCUGUUUUUACUUCCUCUUUCCUAUGAACAAAGCAACAAUGAACAUGGAUGAGAAGGUCUAGAAUGAAGAGAGGUGGCAAGCAGGUUGGUGUUUCUGCCGCACUGCAGUAUGGGAGAUGAUCAAUGAGAAGAGUUGAUCCCCGCCCCACCACCACGUUCCCAAAUUCAGUGGCCAGAACAGACUACUCCAAAGAACCAACGCAGUGGGAACCUCCCCCAGAGCCUAGGAAUGGACAGCUCUGUCAGGCUGCCACUCCAGGUGUGGAACGAACACAUUGCUCUUGUCUUUAGAUCGGGACAGAUUUUAGAAGUCAAGAUGUUCUGACGCCUCUGUACGUUCAGGAUGCAGUCCUGGCUGAGGCACAUGCUGGGACACUUACGUCACGCUUUGACCUGAGCCCAUAUAGAGAGAACAGUCCCUGACGCCAUGAAUGUCACCCUACUCUCCUUGUACUGGAGAAAAGGAAAAGAAGAAGAAGAAUUGAAUCCUGGCCAGUUAAUAAUGCAGCCCAUUGGUUUGUGCCAAAGACAUUGAAUCUGAGAUUGAUGUCUGUUCCCAACGAGGAUCUGUGCCUUCAGGAAAUGCAACGGCCCCUGCACCCCACACACCGUUUGUCUUUUAAGGCUCAGCUACCUUGAAGUCACCUCUCUAUACCAGGGGCAACAUCCCAAAUUAGUCUUCAUUCAGAAAUUACCUCCGAUGGAAGCGUUUUCCUCCCUGGGAAAACGUUCAACCUAUUUAACUGGAGAGGAGCUGUUGCCAAGAAGUCAGCCUGGAGGAUGACAGUAAUUAAAUGAUGGUAA